rnacentral:rRNA from 1 species
GACGAACGCUGGCGGCGUGCUUAACACAUGCAAGUCGAACGGAAAGGCCCCUUUGGGGGUACUCGAGUGGCGAACGGGUGAGUAACACGUGAGUAACCUGCCCUUGACUUCGGGAUAACUUCAGGAAACUGGGGCUAAUACCGGCAAGGAAUCCUUGCUGCAUGGUGGGGGUUGGAAAGCUUCGGCGGUUUUGGAUGGACUCGCGGCUUAUCAGCUUGUUGGUGGGGUAGUGGCUUACCAAGGCUUUGACGGGUAGGCGGCCUGAGAGAGCGACCGGCCACAUUGGGACUGAGAUACGGCCCAGACUCCUACGGGAGGCAGCAUGGGGGAAUAUUGCACAAUGGGCGGAAGCCUGAUGCAGCAACGCCGCGUGCGGGAUGACGGCCUUCGGGUUGUAAACCGCUUUCAGCAGGGGCGAAGCUUGUGGUGACGGUACCUGCAGAAGAAGCACCGGCUAACUACGUG